UCUGACUGUCUUAUUUCAGAAAGGCAGCCAUCAAGCUCUGAGAUUCUUUCCUCCACUUGGUCUAUUCUGCUACUAAUACUUCAGCUCAGCCCAGUUCAGAACUCCUGUUGGAGAAAUGAUUCAGCUGUUUGCAGGAAAAAAGGUCCUCUGACUUUCACCCCAAGAUGAGACCAUCUAGUUGCAGGAAAGCAAGCUCAGGGAUCCCACAGAUUCUGCACUAUGGAGUGGACCAGCCUUUCAACCCCCACCAUCAUCAGUCAUUGCCUCAGAGCAGUCCACAGGAAACAUAACCUUGACCCAAAUAAGGAUUGUGAAGGAAGAGAGAAAUGUGGAAGAGAAGAGGAAGCGGAAGAAAAGAAAAGGAAUCAAGAUCUUACAUGACCUGAAAAGCCUAAAAUAUUUAUCUUUAUACAAAUCUUUCCCUUUGUAGAAAAAUUUUGACAAUCCCUGCUCUAGAGAGAGGAAGAAAACUCCAAGGACCUACAAGGUUUCUGAAGGUAAACUACUGAGGAACAAAACCACUAAUAAAAUUCCUGCAAGAAUAAUGUAUUUUUUGAGUUUAUCACAUGGAGUUUUUUUUUUAACCAAAGGAUAAUUGAGCCCACAAAUAAAGACAAAAUAUCCACUAAAAAUAAAUCAUGUAGAAACCAUUUUGAAAAUUAUGAAAAGAGUAUUUAACUAGCCUAAAUGUAGGUAGAACUAUAUGUCUGAUAAAAAAUAAAAAGCACAUACUUAAAGCACACAACUUGCUAAGUUGUUGAAAUUCUCAACACAAUCAAGAUU
rnacentral:lncRNA from 1 species